rnacentral:rRNA from 1 species
UACGUGGGGUGCGAGCGUUAAUCGGAAUUACUGGGCGUAAAGCGUGCGCAGGCGGUUUUGUAAGCCAGGUGUGAAAUCCCCGGGCUCAACCUGGGAAUGGCAUUUGGGACUGCAAGGCUGGAGUGUGGCAGAGGAGACUGGAAUUCCUGGUGUAGCAGUGAAAUGCGUAGAUAUCAGGAGGAAUACCGAUGGCGAAGGCAGGUCUCUGGGCUGACACUGACGCUCAUGCACGAAAGCGUGGGGAGCAAACAGG